CCCUUAGAUGUUCUGGGCCGCACGCGCGCUACACUGACGAAUGCAACGAGCUUAUAACCUUGGCCGAAAGGUCUGGGUAAUCUCCAAAUUUCGUCGUGGUGGGGAUAGAUUAUUGCAAUUAUUAAUCUUCAACGAGGAAUGCCUAGUAAGCGCAAGUCAUCAGCUUGCGUUGAUUACGUCCCUGCCCUUUGUACACACCGCCCGUCGCUCCUACCGAUUGAAUGGUCCGGUGAAGCGCUCGGACCGCGGCCUCUUGACGGUUCGCUGUCGAUUGGCUGUGGGAAGUUCGUUAAACCUUAUCAUUUAGAGGAAGGAGAAGUCGUAACA
rnacentral:rRNA from 1 species